CCUGGUGAUUUUCAUCUAUAAUUCCCGAGGCUAAUUGUUGCCUCUAAAUUACUGUGUAAAUUACUGACUUUGGGGUAAACCGUGAUUUGUAAUAUAUGCCAUUGGUUAUAUUAGCAUAUUCUUAUCUGGAAAAAGAUGGAAGGGUACUCGUUUACUGUCGUUAUUUUGCUGAUCACUGGUGACCAACAGAUAGGACAAACCUUGGACAAGAAGCAUACCUUGUGAUUCCCUUCUCUAGAGGAAGCAGGACGCUGGACCCUUCUGGUUAUUAUCGUGGGCUCGGUGUGUUGUUGGUGCCGGGUGCUCUCUUACGUGGCCCAGAGUUCUGGUCAGAGCUGCGAAGAGGGAGCCAGGACAGUCUGACCUGUGGCUGUCAUGAGGGCCCCUCAACCAAGUCUUUAACUAGUCCUGCAACCGGGAUGAUGAGAACGCGGCUCUCAAACGCAGCUUGCAGUCUGCAGAGGGCUCGCAGGUCUGGGUGGCUGAGAACGUGAGUCCUGACCAGUUCCCAGGAGCGGCUGCUGGGAGCAGCGACCCGGUCGCACUUCGCCGGCCGGCCGUUCCUUCUGUCCUCCUCGAGUCUCCUUCCUUCACCUUUCGGCCCUCUUCGGGCUGCAUGUGCCCAGCAGUGGGCGCCAUGGUGCCUUCCCCACCUCUCCUUCCCCAGCUGCGGGCCGACCCUCCGCGGGUCUCCCCGGGAAUCGCCUCUGGCUGGGAGCUGCAGGCCCAGCCCUGACCGCCAGCUCGGAAGGCUGGAAACACCCAGCCGGGCCUGGGAGCUGGGCCGCUGUCCUCGGGCCGGGGCCCCCCAGUGUAGACGCCCAUAAGCCUCCAGCUCACGGCUCCAUUCAAGCCCUGCGCACAGACGGGCAGGGACCUCCGCGGUGACGGGGACGAUGCACGGCCCGGAGGCUUCACUACCAAGAAGCAGCAGGGUCAGGCGCUCGGCUCAGCGGGCGCUUUUCUCACAAUUCACCCACGAACACUUGCUUGAUCUACUGCACUGGGCUCUGGGGUAAACUCUGAGAUCCAAAGCAGACUAAAACAGAGCCCUUUCUAUGCAGUCCUUCAAGGUCUGGUGCAGGAGCCGGAGGGGAACAGGGCAGCCCCGGGAGAGCCCGCAGGGCCCAGAGAACAGCUGGGCCAGGACCCAGGGCCCCGUGCUGCGCCUCUCAGCCAAAGGGAAGCUUUCCGAGGCUCGGUGUCCUCGUCUGUAAAGGGGGGAGCAGUGCCUACCUCUUGCAGGGUCGGUGCAAGGUCUACGCCAGUUAAGGUGUGAAAAGUGGUCAGCGUCCUGAUUGUUAUCAUCGACGAUGAGUGACAGAGGUGGAGGACCUGAGGACCACAGGGGUGGCCGGAGACCCAGACAGAGAACUAACCCCAAGGCACCUGGGCAGGAGGGACGGGCCGGACAUCAGCAGUGCUGGGGGUUCCUCCUACCCUGGACCCCUAGGAUGUACGGGCCACAGGUCCUGCCUCAGCCGCAGUCACAGCUUUCCGUGGCUGCGGCAACAUCCUGAGAGGAACGACUCAGAGGAGGGAAGGCUCUCGGUGGCUCACGGCUCACGGCUUCACAGCAGCCUGGAUGGACUGAGACAUCUGGAUCACAGCCUGGUGGUCUGUUCUUCAACUUCGAAGCUCCCAAUGCCACCAUACCCCCACCCCCCAUAGCCCUCCUGGUCCCCAUCCUGCUGCCUGGGCAGAGAAGAUGUCAGCAUGUCUGCCCUCAGGGAUUUUGUUCUGAGCAUCACCUCUAGAGGCCCCAACUAAAAUUAAAUCUCU
ensembl:lncRNA